rnacentral:rRNA from 1 species
UUAGUGGCGCACGGGUGCGUAACGCGUGGGAAUCUGCCCUUGGGUUCGGAAUAACAGUUAGAAAUGACUGCUAAUACCGGAUGAUGUCGCAAGACCAAAGAUUUAUCGCCCAAGGAUGAGCCCGCGUAGGAUUAGCUAGUUGGUGAGGUAAAAGCUCACCAAGGCGACGAUCCUUAGCUGGUCUGAGAGGAUGAUCAGCCACACUGGGACUGAGACACGGCCCAGACUCCUACGGGAGGCAGCAGUGGGGAAUAUUGGACAAUGGGCGAAAGCCUGAUCCAGCAAUGCCGCGUGAGUGAUGAAGGCCCUAGGGUUGUAAAGCUCUUUUACCCGGGAUGAUAAUGACAGUACCGGGAGAAUAAGCUCCGGCUAACUUCGUGCCAGCAGCCGCGGUAAUACGAGGGGAGCUAGCGUUAUUCGGAAUUACUGGGGCGUAAGCGCACGUACGCGGCUUUGUUAGUUAGAGGUGAAAGCCCAGAGCUCACUCUGG